rnacentral:misc_RNA from 1 species
AAGCAAUCCAUCAACUAUUUAUUAUUUUCCAUUGAAAACAAUCCAACAAAUAGUUUUUGUUUGAAUUGUUUUUUCAGUGAAAAUCCCCCUACGCAGCUAAGUAUAUAUACAUAUACUACAACUGAUUUCCUAAAAUCAGUGUUCCCCCCUAAUAGAGAUUAAAUGUUAAUAAACAAAUAAUACUCCUUGUUCUUCAAAUGUUUGAAACCAUGGGCAAUUUAAAUGUCUUUGGAUCUUCUCAAAUGACAGAACUUUAAUCCAGUGAGCAGUUUAUCUGAUCAGAUUCAACCAAGAGAUCCCAACUUGAGGGCAAA